rnacentral:rRNA from 1 species
CGUCACACACUCAUGUACUACUCUCCUGUCAGCAGUAGCCACGCCUGCUACUCUCUCAUAACACCUCACAGCACUCUACAUGCCGCAACAUCAUACAAUAUACAUCCAUUCACCACAUCACAUCGUCAGACACUCGACUCUACAUUAUCACUCCAGAUAUGGCAUCACACACGACACGCACCACACACAACAAAUACAGUACUAUACUCAUAGUUGCUACUCUGCACACGCGUGUAUCAUAUAUCAUACACAUCACACUCAUCACACAGUCAAUCCUAGACAACUAGAGAUACAAUGCAUAUCACACUAUUACACUCACUACUAUAUAGUAAUGAGAGAUACUGCGAGCGCACACUCGCAACAUCUCUUGCAUACACACAACUCGAUAUAGACAUCACAGCACACACACAUCACUCGCCUAGCAUCACACACAGUCACUCCACACUAGCAGUCCACACACUACACUCAACUCACAACACUCUACUAUCAUCAUCUCACACUACUCGCUCGCAUCACCCCGAGCACCCACACACACACCGCACACUCACACACACUCACACCCACAACAUCAAGCAUCCAUCUACUCAACAUCAAACACAUUCACACUCACAUACUAGCUUAAUAGCAUCAGCAUUACUCGUUCUCGCUAGUUAGUCUUGUAUCAGUUACCGUCUCUUCUUCUCUAUUGUCAUCUUCCGUCUGUGUAUGCCGCUCAUACGUUCGCUAUUCCUCCCUCAUCUCACAUCCACUAUACUCACCUCAGACUAGCGACACUGGCUCUCAGUCACCCCCGUCCACCGAAAAUAAAAAAUAUCACUCCACCUAACGAAGCUCGCGACAACAUGACGACAGGCAGUAGUUAGACUGUAUUGAGAGACGAUUGGCUAAGUCAAGCACUGCGCGCAACCCUCGUUCUACGUCGCCAGCAUGUGAUGGUGGGAACUCAUAGGAGACUGCCGGGGUCAACUCGGAGGAAGGUGGGGAUGACGUCAAAUCAUCAUGCCCUUUAUGUCUUGGGCUUCACGCAUGCUACAAUGGCUGGUACAGAGAGAGGCGAACCCGUGAGGGCAAGCGAAUCCCUUAAAGCCAGUCUCAGUUCGGAUCGUAGUCUGCAAUCGACUACGUGAAGUGAGUCGCUAGAAUGCAGAUAGAAC